rnacentral:rRNA from 1 species
UACGAAGGGGGCUAGCGUUGUGCGGAUUUACUGGGCGUAAAGCGCACGUAGGCGGAUCGAUCAGUCAGGGGUGAAAUCCCAGAGCUCAACUCUGGAGCUGCCUGUGAUACUGUCGAUCUGGAGUAUGGAAGAGGUGAGUGGAAUUCCGAGUGUAGAGGUGAAAUUCGUAGAUAUUCGGAGGAACACCAGUGGCGAAGGCGGCUCACUGGUCCAUUACUGACGCUGAGGCGCGAAAGCUAGGGGAGCAAACAGG